UCGAGAAUCUUCCACAAUGGACGAAAGUCUGAUGGAGCGACGCCGCGUGAUUGAUGAAGUCCUUAGGGACGUAAAAAUCUUUUUUGAAGGAGGAAGUUUAUUGACGUUACUUCAAGAAUAAGGGGUUCCUAAACUCGUGCCAGCAGGAGCGGUAAUACGAGUGCCCCGAGCGUUAUCCGGAAUCAUUGGGCGUAAAGGGUGCGUAGGCGGUCAUAUUAGUCUUUUGUUAAAUUCUUCGGCUUAACCGGGGGUCUGCAAAGGAAACGUUAUGACUAGAGAGUGUGAGAGGUGAACGGAACUCAUGGAGUAGGGGUGAAAUCCGUUGAUAUCAUGGGGAACACCAAAUGCGAAGGCAGUUCACUGGCACAUUUCUGACGCUGAGGCACGAAAGCGUGGGUAGCGAAUGGG
rnacentral:rRNA from 1 species